CACCUUCUAAAUGUGAAGAUGCUUUCUGUGACAUGGGAGGUGACACUUCAAAUCUCCUUGGCUGGUGAAGGAAAUGGACCCGUCCCUUUCAUAGCACUGGUGGAUGACACCGACCUCAGGAGCAGUCUCAGCAAGGAGCACCAUCUGACUUCUUUUUUCCAGUGGCUCUCAAUCUAUUGUGUUCUUUGGAAAAAUGACCCUUGAAUAGGGUCUUGAUGAAAGGUGCACUACAGGAACAGAACUGAUUACAACUGAAGAGGAAAAGGGCUCACAUAAUUAUGCAUAUGAGCUCAAACCUCUGUCUUGCGUCUGGUGGUGACCUGUACAUUUCUACCUCCAAGGCAAUGUCUCUCUGCCCAGGAGCAGGCACCAGUUCAACCCUAGCAAGACCUUUUGGCCCUCCCAGGAAGAGAAGGAGACAGAGGAAAAACAAACACGCGGAGAUAAACAGCAGACUGUGGAGCACAACAAAAGACAAGGGCUGUGGGGAGCUGCAGGAUCAGAAAUUAAGGAAUAAGGAGAAGAGCACUAGUCUCAAGGUCCCAUGUUGCCAGGAGAGGUUCAAGGAGUUGGUGGCAGCAGCCCAGGAGUGCUGUGCCCUGGGGACAGGGCAGCAAGGGACAGGGGACAGGGCUACUAGCAACAGGGCUCCCCCCUCCCAUUUUGAUUCUGCUUCUUCCUCCCAGUGAUGUGAACAAGCAGUUCAGCUGGAGCCAGGAGAAAACUGAUGGAAAGUCUCUGGUGAUUUUCAGGGCUUUAUUCUGAAAGGUUAGACAUGACUACAUCAAAAGUAUUGCUCCAAGCUGGACUGGGAGAGUAUCUCAGAAAUAGUUUAAGCUGUAAUUUCAGACUAGCCUGCAAUGUUCCCAGCAGAAUAGAGAGAGAGACUUUCACCAUGAGAAAACAAACAAACAAAUAAACAAACAAGCAGUCAGAGAAAAG